GUGCUUGCUUCGGCAGCACAUAUACUAAAAAUUGGAACGAUACAGAGAAGAUUAGCAUGGUCCCUGCGCAAGAAUGACACUAAAAAAAAAUUUUUUU
rnacentral:snRNA from 1 species